rnacentral:rRNA from 1 species
GACGAACGCUGGCGGCGUGCUUAACACAUGCAAGUCGAACGGUGAACCUCUUCGGAGGGGAUCAGUGGCGAACGGGUGAGUAACACGUGGGCAACCUGCCCCCGGCUCUGGGAUAACUCCAAGAAAUUGGGGCUAAUACCGGAUGUUCACCGCUUCCCGCAUGGGCGGUGGUGAAAAGGGUUUCCGGCUGGGGAUGGGCCCGCGGCUUAUCAGCUGGUUGGUGGGGUAGUGGCCUACCAAGGCGACGACGGGUAGCCGGCCUGAGAGGGUGACCGGCCACACUGGGACUGAGACACGGCAGAGACUCCUACGGGAGGCAGCAGUAGGGAAUAUUGCGCCACGGGCGGAGGCAUGACGCAGGGACGCCGCGUGGGGGAUGACGGCCUUCGGGUUGUAGACCUCUUUCAGCAGGGACGAAGCGCCAGUGACGGUACCUGCAGAAGAAGCACCGGCCAACUACGUG